ncrna:unclassified sequences Actino-pnp RNA
GUCGGUCCUCGGUAGUGGCCCUCGAAGGGAUUCGCGCCCAGCGCGAGAACCCGGGGGCCUCGAUCGAAGACCGCC